UGCGGCGGAGGCACACCGGCUCUGCGGAAGGAUACGCGCACGCAAUAACAACAGCGCAGCGCAGCUGCUGCAAACCGGCUGGCGGAGGAAUACGACACAGCUGCACGGUCUGCAUGUGGAUCUAAUGGUGGAUCAGCACCGAGAGAUGAUGUCUACAGCCCUGACCGCGAUUGGAGACCAGAACCACUAGAUGAGAAAAUAAAAGCACUGCCACCUGUUCUGAGAGUCACUGAGGGAUAAAGAACAAACUUCAGCGACUGAGCGAUAUCCGCUGAGAUGAAUCUGCUUUCCUGGCUUCUGCAUUUCUAAAUAAGUCUGGCUGGGAUUUCGUGUUUCAUUGUAUGCGUUUUCACAUCGCCUUUCUCUCUAAAUCCUGACUGGUUGAUGACGGGAUGCCUGCACGCUAGCGGUCGAACUGCCUUUCGGGCAUUACCUUCAGCAAGCGUGAAAACAACACUAAAGACUUUUUAGGCUAUUUGGAAAUCCCGGACCGGACUGCGGCCUUCAGAUGAACUCUUACUGGACUGAAGGAGCUCAGCUUUAUUUGAUUCUGGAUCAGUCGUUAAAUCAGCGCUCUCAUCUCGAAUCUGAUCAUCAGCAUCUUUUGAGUUCCAGAAGCUUGACUUUUGCUUCACAAGCCUCCAAAACAUCUCACAUCUUCUGAGGAGCCUUGAUUUCUUCAUUUCUCAAUCAGCAUUGCAUGUUUAGCUCAUGUUUGCUGGAGAUAUAGCGACCCCUGAUAUUUAUAUAAUUUUAUGUCAGUAUGUGCCGUAUAAUGUAUUGCUCAG